rnacentral:rRNA from 1 species
ACCAGACUCCUACGGGAGGCAGCAGUGGGGAAUAUUGGGCAAUGGGCGCAAGCCUGACCCAGCAAUGCCGCGUGAAGGAAGAAGGCUUUCGGGUUGUAAACUUCUUUGACAGGGGAAGAGCAGAAGACGGUACCCUGAAAACAAGCCACGGCUAACUACGUGCCAGCAGCCGCGGUAAUACGUAGGUGGCAAGCGUUGUCCGGAAUUACUGGGUGUAAAGGGAGCGCAGGCGGGAAGCCAAGUCAGCUGUGAAAACUACGGGCUUAACUUGUAGACUGCAGUUGAAACUGGUUUUCUUGAGUGAAGUAGAGGUUGGCGGAAUUCCGAGUGUAGCGGUGAAAUGCGUAGAUAUUCGGAGGAACACCGGUGGCGAAGGCGGCCAACUGGGCUUUAACUGACGCUGAGGCUCGAAAGUGUGGGGAGCAAACAGGAUUAGAUACCCUCGUACGA